CUUCCAGUAGCACCUUAGAGACCAACUAAGUUUGUCAUUGACAAUGUUGGUCUCUAAGGUGCUACUGGAAG